rnacentral:rRNA from 1 species
GUAGGGAAUCUUCCACAAUGGACGAAAGUCUGAUGGAGCAACGCCGCGUGAGUGAAGAAGGUUCUCGGAUCGUAAAACUCUGUUGUGAGGGAAGAACAAGUACCGGAGUAACUGCCGGUACCUUGACGGUACCUCAUUAGAAAGCCACGGCUAACUACGUGCCAGCAGCCGCGGUAAUACGUAGGUGGCAAGCGUUGUCCGGAAUCAUUGGGCGUAAAGCGCGCGCAGGCGGUCCCUUAAGUCUGAUGUGAAAGCCCACGGCUCAUCCGUGGAGGGUCAUUGGAAACUGGGGGACUUGAGUGCAGAAGAGGAAAGCGGAAUUCCAAGUGUAGCGGUGAAAUGCGUAGAGAUUUGGAGGAACACCAGUGGAGAAGGCGGCUUUCUGGUCUGUAACUGACGCUGAGGCGCGAAAGCGUGGGGAGCAAACAGGAUUAGAAACCCGAGUAGUCC